rnacentral:rRNA from 1 species
GUAACGGCGAGUGAAGCGGGAACAGCUCAAAGUGAAAAUCGCGUGUCCAUAUUGGGCCCGCGAGUUGUAGCCUCUAGAGGCGUUACCAGUGGAGGGGCAGGUCCAAGUUUCUUGGAACAGAACUUCAGAGAGGGUGACAGUCCCGUCCUUUGUCCUGCUUGUUGUCUCCACGUACGGUGCGCUUUUAUUGAGUCGCGUUCAUUGGGAUUUGAGCGCAAAAUGUGUGAUAAGUUUCACAUAAAGCUAAAUACUGGCGCGAGACCGAUAGCGAACAAGUACUGUGAAGGAAAGAUGAAAAGGACUUUGGAAAGAGAGUUAAAAGUACCUGAAAUUGCUGAAAGGGAA